rnacentral:rRNA from 1 species
AGCUCCAAUAGCGUAUAUUAAAGUUGUUGCAGUUAAAACGCUCGUAGUCGGAUUUCGGGGCGGGCCGACCGGUCUGCCGAUGGGUAUGCACUGGCCGGCGCGUCCUUCCACCCGGAGACCGCGCCUACUCUUAACUGAGCGGGCGCGGGAGACGGGUCUUUUACUUUGAAAAAAUCAGAGUGUUUCAAGCAGGCAGUCGCUCUUGCAUGGAUUAGCAUGGGAUAAUGAAAUAGGACUCUGGUGCUAUUUUGUUGGUUUCGAACACCGGAGUAAUGAUUAACAGGGACAGUCAGGGGCACUCGUAUUCCGCCGAGAGAGGUGAAAUUCUCAGACCAGCGGAAGACGAACCACUGCGAAAGCAUUUGCCAGGGAUGUUUUCA